rnacentral:rRNA from 1 species
GACGAACGCUGGCGGCGUGCUUAACACAUGCAAGUCGAACGGAAAGGCCCUGCUUUUGUGGGGUGCUCGAGUGGCGAACGGGUGAGUAACACGUGAGUAACCUGCCCUUGACUUUGGGAUAACUUCAGGUAACUGGGGUUAAUACCGGAUCGGAGCUCCCGCUGCAUGGUGGGGGUUGGAAAGUUUCGGCGGUUGGGGAUGGACUCGCGGCUUAUGAGCUUGUUGGUGGGGUAGUGGCUUACCAAGGCUUUGACGGGUAGCCGGCCUGAGAGGGUGACCGGCCACAUUGGGACUGAGAUACGGCCCAGACUCCUACGGGAGGCAGCAGUGGGGAAUAUUGCACAAUGGGCGGAAGCCUGAUGCAGCAACGCCGCGUGCGGGAUGACGGCCUUCGGGUUGUAAACCGCUUUCGCCUGUGACGAAGCGUGAGUGACGGUAAUGGGUAAAGAAGCACCGGCUAACUACGUG